rnacentral:tRNA from 1 species
GGACGGGUGGCCGAGUGGUUUAAGGCAGCGGUCUUGAAAACCGCCGGGGGUGCAAGCCUCCCGUGGGUUCGAAUCCCACCCCGUCCG